AUGAAAACAGAUUCCAAGCAGUUCUAAUAAUUUGUACAUUUAAUUGCAGUGCUCUCAAUCAUCUUGUCUGCUUCAGCACAAGUCAAACCUGCAGAUUUUUCGGAGAGAGAAAAGUGCAAGCAUUUUUCUGCCAAGAGGAAGUUUGUGUGCAACUCUGUGCAUGAGUGAUUGAGUGAUGCUGACUCCUCUACUGGCCGUAACACAGACAUUAGCAAUAUAAACACCCCUCCCUGCAAAUCUUGUAUUAAAUGGCCUAAUUUCCUGCUGAAACUUAAUGGUGCAAUAAAGAAUACUGUGAAGAGGUGCACCUUAUGCCAGUCUGAUGUACUGGCGAGGCAAGCAGGGAGAGAAAGUUCUAAAAAACACUUCAAAAUGUCACUUCAGCAAUGCCAGACAGCUGUGCAAAAUCACAAUGGCAGAUGUGUGAUGCUGGACUGAGGAAUAUGCCUGGUGCUGACUGCAAGGAUGCCAUAAAGACAGCAGGCUGGGAUGCCCAUCAAAGUUGCCUUUUGUCUGGUCUCAGUGCCCAGCCAAGAAGCUGCUUACCCUACCCAGUGCUGCAUGAUGAAAAGCCAAAUAUCACAUCUUCCCUUGCCUGGUCCACAGCCUCCAGUGAAAGCAGUUACAAGACACAAGCAGUUUCAGCAAAACCAGAGAGCUGACAGGAUGAGAUUGUCUUCAAUUUUUGUCUAACGACUUUGAAGCGGUCAUGCCUGCUUGGAAUCAGCUUUCCAGGGCUGUGAGCCAAAAGCAAGAUGUGCCAGGGUGCACGUCACCAAAAUCCUGAGAUGGAAGAGGAGACCAAAGUAACAAGCUUCCUCGCUUGAAAACUGACCUCAGCUGAGCACAAGAAUGCUGUGGUCAGGCAUCAGGAUACAAAACAGGCAGGACACCCCUUCUGGACCAGUUCUGCACAUGAAGCUGGCUCUCUUCUUCUACAGGGUAGGAAGCAAACAUCAUGCAAAUGAGGGAUAAACUAGACCAUUAACCUUGUUGCUCUUCCUCUCCAUCUUUGUCAAGAUUAAUUAGUCUGGAAGCUAUAAC
rnacentral:lncRNA from 1 species